rnacentral:rRNA from 1 species
GACCUAGUCCCAACCUUUAAGUCAAUUAUCACUCGACUUAUACAUGCAAGUCUCUGCACCCCUGUGAACAUGCCCUCAACCCCCUCCUGGAACUAAGGAGCAGAUAUCAGGCUCAACUAUUGCCUAAGACAUCUAGCCACGCCACACCCACAAGGGCCCUUGCAGCAGUGAUUAAUCUUGAACAUGAGCGACAGCUCGAUUCAGUUAGAGUGAAAAUGGGCUGGCAAAGUUAGUGCCAGUCGCCUCGGAUACACUACAUCAGCUCAAAUUGACUUACCUCGGCGUAAAGCGUGAUCAAAUAAACUAGCAUACUAGAGUUAAACUCGACAACUGUCUCAUCAGUAAAUCCAAUAACGAAAGUCACUCUAACCCACCCCUUUGACUUCACGACAACUAGGACCCAAACUGGGAUUAGGUACCCCACUAUGCCUAGUCGUAAACUUUUAAUUACACCACAACCGCCAGG